AGGGCUAAAUUCUGCCAUAUUGGGAACAUUUGGUGCUACCUUAUAAUUCAAGAUGUUAAUACAUGCUCACUUCAGGUUUUUCCCAUAUUUUUUAAUUAUCCAGCAUCCUGAGACUUCUGAAGAAGAAGAACAUUUAACUGGAUGUUUUCACAGGCAACAGUGAGGAUCAAAAUGGUGAUUCCUGAAAAUGGAGCUAAGGAUUAUUACUGAGCAUAAGAGAGGCGAGAAGCGGAAGGUGGCUGGUAGAGAAAGUCAUGUUUUAAUAAGGAUAACUUGAGAAAAAUCACAUUUAAAUAAACAAGGAUAAUUCUUGGAUAUAUUCUCAACCAAAGACAAAUCAUCAGCCUAUUUCCCAGGGUCUUGUCAAUCCUUCUUUCCCCAGGUAGCUGCUUUGAUUAAAUAACAGCAGCUGAGGACAUAGCUUAGCUUAGGGUUUGGUGAAAAGUCAGGACCCAGGGAUGGGUGGGUCCAGCAGUGCCUGGCACAUCUCAGCCCCUGCCUCUUCACAUUGACUUUGAACAAGAAACUGUGGCAUCCAGCACAGCCAGAGAACAUGGGGAGGAAAAGAAAAAGGGGGGCCCCCCCAACGGUCUCUCAAACCUGGACCAAAGUUGUUCAAGUUUACAUUCUUUAACUUCUAAUAUUGGCACCACUGUUAAUUCUUUCACUCUGAGAGUGCUGCAUGCACAAAAAGAGAAAAUAAAGAAAAAAUGACAGAUGGAAAAAGUGUGCUUUAGCCACAGCUGUUUCCUCCUUCCUUCAAAAAAUGAAUUAAGUGCCUUAUAACCUAAGGGAGAAAAAAUGAUGGUUUUCGAAGUGAAAUAUGUCCUGUCAAAAAGUCGGCUAUAAAAAUGCAUAUUACUCAGUAAGAUAAUCUCUCAGAAUUAUUGCUUAAUGAUUUAGGAUUUGGGUUUUUCUUAACCAAUCAUUCCUAAUAUUUCCAUUACAAAGAGAAAAAAACUAGCCAUGGGUGACAGAUUUUAAGAAAAAAAAAAAAAAAAAGAAUAGAGUGAGGAAAACAGGCAAAAAAUAAAAAGCUAGGGAUUUUGCUCACAUGUGAUGGUGUGCCUAGUGUAGUUGGGGGG